GUGGCUAUAGUUUAAUGGCAGAACAGCGGAUUGUGGCUUCGCUAGCCUGGGUUCGAUUCCCAGUAGCCACC
rnacentral:tRNA from 1 species